GAUGAACGCUAGCUACAGGCUUAACACAUGCAAGUCGAGGGGUAACAAGAGAAAAGCUUGCUUUUCUUGUUGACGACCGGCGCACGGGUGAGUAACGCGUAUCCAACCUGCCUAUAACUAGGGAAUAACCUUGCGAAAGUAAGACUAAUACCCUAUGAUUUCCUUUGAUGGCAUCAGAUUAGGAAUAAAGAUUUAUCGGUUAUAGAUGGGGAUGCGUCUGAUUAGCUUGUUGGCGGGGGAACGGCCCACAAAGACAACGAUCAGUAGGGGUACUGAGAGGAAGGUCCCCCACAUUGGAACCGAGACACGGUCCAAACUCCUACGGGAGGCAGCAGUGAGUAAUAUUGGUCAAUGGGCGGAAGCCUGAACCAGCCAAGUAGCGUGCAGGAUGACGGCCCUAUGGGUUGUAAACUGCUUUUAUACAGGAAUAAAGUUAGCCACGUGUGGUUAUUUGUAGGUACUGUAUGAAUAAGGACCGGCUAAUUCCGUGCCAGCCGCCGCCGUAA
rnacentral:rRNA from 1 species